rnacentral:rRNA from 1 species
CACGUGGCUAGUGUGUCGAUGAAGAGCGUAGCCAGCUACGUGAACUAAUGUGAACUGCAUACUGCUUUGAACAUCGACAUCUUGAACGC